rnacentral:lncRNA from 1 species
GUAUUUGUCUGGGGAUGGCUGUGCAUACAGAACACCAUUAGCUCCAUGAAGAAUAUGACAGAGGUACCUGGUCCUACCUGGAUUCUUGGGCAUGCGGGAAGCAGCAGCAGUAGCCACAGUGAACUUCAUCCUAAGGAACUGUUAUGCAGACGUUGCAUGAGUCUCUUGUGGGGGUGCCAGCAAAACCAAGCCUUUGUGCCUAUCUGUGGUUGUGACCCGUUGGAGAGACAUUGGGAGAUGAGAUACUGUGCUCACUCCUCACGGCUGAACCAAGGACCUGAGAUAUUCCAUUGCUAUCCUGCCUCCCAUCAGCACCAUGAGGGGGAUGCUCUUAGCAUUUUCAUUUUACAGAUGAAGACACUGAGCCUUAGCCAGAUGAAGAGGCUUCUCCGGCUGAGUAGUGUAGGCAGUACUUCCUUUGCAGCCUAGGUUCCUGAUCACAUUUCCUUUCACCUGGAUGGAGGUGAGUCAAACUGCCUCUGACUGCGUCCAGCUUCCUGUUGGGCUUUGCCAUUGGGGGCACCAAAGAAGAUCAGAGGGUCAGAGAGAAAGGGUUUGCAAAUUUGCAAAUAUGCCAAAUUUCUAUAUUUUGUAUAAUUCACAGGCUGGCAUUUCCAGUGAAAUAUUGGAGCUAUCCUGUAUUUCUUUAGGUUAGAAAUAUUAUUGAAACAAGAAACUGU